UCGUGAGGUCUGCUGGAGGUAUCAGAAGUGCGAAUGCUGACAUGAGUAACGAUAAUGGGGGUGAAAAACCCCCACGCCGAAAGCCCCAGGUUUCCUGCGCAACGUUAAUCGGCGCAGGGUUAGUCGGCCCCUAAGGCGAGGUCGAAGGACGUAGUCGAUGGGAAACAGGUUAAUAUUCCUGUACUUGGCAGUACUGCGAUGAGGGGACGAAGAAGGCUAGGUGAUCCGGGUGUUGGUUGUCCCGGUUCAAGCGUGUAGGGAGUGUGCUUAGGCAAAUCCGGGCACACAAUUCCGAGACGUGACGACGACGCUCCACGGAGCGGAAGUCAUUGAUGCCAUACUUCCUGGAAAAGCCUCUAAGCUUCAGGUACUGCGGAACCGUACCGCAAACCGACACAGGUGGGCAGGGUGAGAAUCCUAAGGCGCUUGAGAGAACUCGGGUGAAGGAACUAGGCAAAAUAGUACCGUAACUUCGGGAGAAGGUACGCCCCUGGUACGUGAAGGGCCUCGCGCCCGGAGCGGAAGGGGGUUGCAGUGACCAGGUGGCUGCGACUGUUUACUAAAAACACAGCACUGUGCAAACACGUAAGUGGACGUAUACGGUGUGACGCCUGCCCGGUGCCGGAAGGUUAAGUGAUGGGGUUAGGCUUCGGCCGAAGCUCUUGAUCGAAGCCCCGGUAAACGGCGGCCGUAACUAUAACGGUCCUAAGGUAGCGAAAUUCCUUGUCGGGUAAGUUCCGACCUGCACGAAUGGCGUAACGAUGGCCACGCUGUCUCCACCCGAGACUCAGUGAAAUUGAAAUCGCUGUGAAGAUGCAGUGUACCCGCGGCUAGACGGAAAGACCCCGUGAACCUUUACUACAGCUUCGCACUGAACUUUGAGGCUGCUUGUGCAGGAUAGGUGGGAGGCUUCGAAGCCGGGACGCCAGUCCCGGUGGAGCCAUCCUUGAGAUACCACCCUGGCAGUCUUGGGGUUCUAACCCAGGUCCGUUAUCCGGAUCGGAGACAGUGUGUGGCGGGUAGUUUGACUGGGGCGGUCUCCUCCCAAAGAGUAACGGAGGAGCACGAAGGUACCCUCGGUACGGUCGGAAAUCGUGCUAUGAGUGCAAAGGCAUAAGGGUGCUUGACUGUGAGACUGACACGUCGAACAGGUGCGAAAGCAGGUCUUAGUGAUCCGGUGGUUCUGUAUGGAAGGGCCAUCGCUCAACGGAUAAAAGGUACUCCGGGGAUAACAGGCUGAUUCCUCCCAAGAGUCCACAUCGACGGAGGAGUUUGGCACCUCGAUGUCGGCUCAUCACAUCCUGGGGCUGUAGCAGGUCCCAAGGGUACGGCUGUUCGCCGUUUAAAGUGGUACGCGAGCUGGGUUUAGAACGUCGUGAGACAGUUCGGUCCCUAUCUGCCGUGGGCGUCGGGAAUUUGAGGGAAGCUGCUCCUAGUACGAGAGGACCGGAGUGGACGCACCUCUGGUGUUCCGGUUGUCACGCCAGUGGCACUGCCGGGUAGCUAUGUGCGGACGGGAUAACCGCUGAAAGCAUCUAAGCGGGAAGCCCCUCCCAAGAUGAGAUUCCCCUGGAUCCUCGAGAUCCCUGAAGGGCCGUCGAAGACUACGACGUUGAUAGGCGGGGUGUGGAAGCGCAGCAAUGUGUGAAGCUAACCCGUACUAAUUGCCCGUGAGGCUUGACCAUAUAACACCCAAACAGUUUGG
rnacentral:rRNA from 1 species